rnacentral:lncRNA from 1 species
GAUGAGUCUUUUAUUCUAGCCUCUCAAAGCUUAGACAAGUGUUCUAUGUCAAUGAUCCGAAAAGUACGAAAUGGUCUAUAGUUCUUUUUCCCAACAAAGUAAUUGAUGAAAACACUGGAGAUCAAGGUGAUAUUGAUGUUGAGAUUGAAUCGUUUACCAAAAAAUGAUCAAGAUGAGAAUAUUAUAUCAAAUGAUUCAUAUAUUAGAAAUGAUCAUAAUGAGGGUAUUUGGAUCAAUCCAACCGUCCGUGUUGUUAAGAGAC